GCUCCCGCUCCCUUCAAGUGUGUGCGUGGGUGGCUCCUCCUCCCCCGCUAGCCACGAGCCACGUCUGCAAACAGCAAGCCAAGCUCUUAAAUCAAGUGAUUUUGCACUUCUGAGGUUUUUUAAAAGCACAGAAGCUGAGCCCCAUAAAUAAUGCAGCAGAUAUCAGAAAGAAGCUCGAGGUGUGGAAGACGUAGAGGAAAUCACCAGUUAUGUCUACCAGGAGACCUGAAAUAGAAGCCAAAGAGAAGAUGCACACUAAAGGCAUAAAUUGACACAAAUGUUAAACCUAAAUAAUUCAGUAAAUUGCCAUACACGAAAGGUAAGCAUUCUCUGAUGGGUUAAGUUCUCUUCUCUAAAUUCUAGGGGUUGGUUGGUUUGGUUUUUUUUUUUGUAGUCACCAUUCAGGUGAUGUUUCUGCUUCUGUUGAAAGUAUUUCUCAAUACACACAGAAACCAGAAAAGAAAGGAAAUUGUAAUUUUCCCCCAAAACUGCUGAUUCAUUUAGUUUACCCAGUAGAGAACCCCUGUGUCACUGCCACUGUGCCAGCUUUUUCCUUGCAAAGGUUCUCUUACCUGUGAGUGGGGGCCCGAUGAGGAGAGUGAUGCUCUCCACGAUGGUGAAGAGCCCUAGAGCGCUGGAGAACCUGUCCAUCUCCACCACAUCCAUCAGCACCUGGAAGGUGAGUGACCCGACCCCGCUCAUGGCGAUGCUGAGGAUGACGCAGUAGAGGAUGAGGACUCUGAACUCGGCUGAAAUGAUGCAGAUGAAGUUGCUCAGCCCGCAGAGGAGCGCGGCCAGGCUGAACAGGUAGAUGCGCCUCCCCGUGAACACCCUGUGCCCCGAGAGCAGCCCUGUGAGAGGGCGGAUGAAGAUGUUGAUGAACCCGAUGACAGAGAUAAGAAGAGCUGCCCUGCCUUCCUCCACCCCAUUGUGGAUGGCAUAAGGCACAAGGUAGACGUGGGGCAAUGCAAACCCCAUCAUCAUCCAGGCCACUCCAAUAGUGUAAAUCUGGUAACGUUUGUUUUGGCAGAAGAUGUCAAAAGCCAGGUACUUCUGCAGCACCUGGAAACAUGUUGUCCUUCUGGCAUGCUGCUGGAGUGUGGGGUGGGGAGGAGACACUCCGUUGGACAGCUGUGCCUCCUCUGCUUUGCUGCCUGGCUCCUCUCCAGGCUCGGGUGGCUGUGGAAGUGACCCGAUGGGUCUCAUGAUGGCUCCACAAACACAGCAGUUCAGGAGUAUUCCUCCAAAGAUGAGGAAGGUGUUUCUCCAGCCCAUCUCCUCCAGCAGGUACUGAGACAGCAGCGGCCACAGGGUGAAGCCGAGGGAGACUCCGGUGGAGGCCAUGGCGUUGGCCAGCGUUCGCCAGCGCACGAAGUAGUAGCCCAGCGCAGUCACCCCUGCCUGGAAGCUGAAACACAAUCCCAGACCUAAAGGUGAGAAUAAAAGAGUAAGUGACCA